UCCCUGGUGGCUCAGAUGGUAAAGAAUCUGCCUUCAAUGCGGGAGACCCAGGUUCGAUCCCUGGAAAGGGAA
rnacentral:tRNA from 1 species